rnacentral:rRNA from 1 species
AGUGAACGCUGGCGGUAGGCCUAACACAUGCAAGUCGAACGGCAGCACAGUAAGAGCUUGCUCUUACGGGUGGCGAGUGGCGGACGGGUGAGGAAUACAUCGGAAUCUACUUUUUCGUGGGGGAUAACGUAGGGAAACUUACGCUAAUACCGCAUACGGCCUACGGGUGAAAGCAGGGGAUCUUCGGACCUUGCGCGAUUGAAUGAGCCGAUGUCGGAUUAGCUAGUUGGCGGGGUAAAGGCCCACCAAGGCGACGAUCCGUAGCUGGUCUGAGAGGAUGGUCAGCGACACUGGAGCUGGGACACCGUCCAGACUCCUACGGGAGGCAGCAGUGGGGAAUAUUGGACAGUGGGCGCGAGCCUGAUCCAGCCAUACCGCGUGGGUGAAGAAGGCCUUCGGGUUGUAAAGCCCUUUUGUUGGGAAAGAAAAGCAGCAGGUUAAUACCCCGCUGUUCUGACGGUACCCAAAGAAUAAGCACCGGCUAACUUCGUG